GUGACAAUAAUCAGCUAGUAUUUAGUACAACAUAGUAUACAAUGCAAUGGAAUGGGUAUAUACGUUUCAAUGGCUAAACAGCAUUUUCUGUCAAGACUUACACGAUUUAUGAGGUAUCCUUACACAGAGAGAAAGAAAAAGUUUCACGCAGAGAACAGAAUUCUUCAGAGUGCAGCGUAAGGUCGUAAAGUUUAGCUGACAGUAAGAAUAACCCUUUCAAUGCUGGCUAGACCUCCUAGGUAAUUAAGAUCUAUUCUUAUGUAAUUUUAAAUAAAAUAACAUUUAAACCAGUUCAUUAGUCAUUUCCUGGAACCAUCCAAUAAGAGAAUCUACCAUGUUUUUUUUUACAAAAGCCGAAUUUAAUUUGUCUAAAAGAUAUCUUAUCUUAUAUUAUAGCAAAUCAAUACACCUGGAUAAAAACAGCGGCAUGCUAACAUGUGAUACUAUCACCUUAAUAUAUAAUUAUUCUUAAUUCCACUAGCAGAAUGGAAUGUUUAUAACUAUAUAUUCUUUAGUUAACUAAGAUUUCUUAAUAUGGAAAUCCGACCGUGAUUUAUCCAGUCAUAUAUCAUGCUAUUAGUAAAUUUAAAUUAAUUUAAAUUAAUUAAAUAAAACCAGUAUAAUUACCAGUUGAGUAGAUAUUUCAUCCGAUUGGUAGAUAGUCUCAGGAACUUAUUUGGAUGUCUCUCUGCAUGGAGGUGUGUAGGAAUUUCUGAGUGUCCUAGAGUGGAUAUCUGUCAUAGGCCUCUCUGCAUUUCUCCCGACUGUUCACUUCUUUGCUUCCUUUGUAUACCCUUGUAUUCCUCGCCUCCUCUCUCCUCUUUUCUCUUCCCCUUGUCUUAACUUUUUAAAGGGAAAAUUCACUAGUUGAUAGACCAAUAGAAACACUGGAGGUGUGGUUAUCUUCCAGAUAGCAAUUUAGUAUUUGGUCUAUAGAGAGCAGUCUUGUCCCACUAAACAUACCUAUCCAGGAAAGAGUUAACUUUUCUUGGUGGCUAUUUUGACGUCAUUUUGCUUUAUCUUUAUAGUUGCCAUAACUUGUGUUUUCUCUUAGUUUUGUCCAGACUUAGUGUCCGCAAUUCCUGCUAUAAUUUCUAAUAUGACAGUUCGUAAACUAAGUUUCACCUUAAACUACAAUGGGAGGUUAUACAAUAUAAAAAGUAAAAUUAAAUUAAUCUUCUCUGUCACAAAUGUCUGGGUUUAGAAUUGAUUAUAUUCCAUUAGCAUUUAGACAGUCUGUCCAACCCCCGUUCUCCUUAUCACUUGGUUUGUAUAUACUAUGCAUUCCUUUAGCUCUAGGAAAGUGGUUAGUUUUACAGAUAGAAAUCUUGUGUCUUUUGUUAGCUUGAAAAUAACAAAAUGGAGUCUGCUCUGUUUAAAGUGACUCAGCAUAUACACUUUUAAUUUCUAUCAUAGCACAAGAUGUCUGCCGAUAGAUUUGUAUGGGAUAAACAGUAGGUGUAUAGGGAGUCUGACAAGCAGGUAGCUUGGUCAGACCCGAUAGUCAUGAGGCAGCUAGUAGUACCAUAGCGGUACCGAUCUGAAUUACUCCGGAUAGCGCACGAUAUUCCGCUAUCCGGACAUUUGGGGGUCAGUCACACCCGGCACCAACUGACCCAAAGUUUCUUUUGGCCGGGAGUUAGCCAGGAAGUUCGUUGUAGGGAAGAGGGGGGACCGGUGAAAUGCAAAACUGCACCCGCUACCCAUAAUUGAGGAACCAUUCAGUAGAGUAGCUGUAGAUUUAAUAGGCCCCCUUCAGAGACCAAGCCCUUCUGGUAAAAAGUAUAUUUUAACGGUAGUAGACAAUGCCACCAGAUAUCCAGAGGCGGUGGCUUUGACUAAUAUCUAUGCAGAAACAGUGGCUGAAGCCCUGAUGCAGAUUUUCUCCAGGAUGGGGUUACCCAGGGAGAUCAUCUCGAAUCAGGGUACCCAGUUCACUACGGAAGUUACCCAGCACCUCUGGAAAUUCUGUGGCAUCAAGCCUAUAAUCAGUGCUCCAUACCAUCCCCAGACCAAUGGGCUAUGUGAGCAGUUCAACGGAACAUUGAAACAAAUGCUCCGAACCUUCACAGACACCCAUAGGGACUGGGAGCGAUUCCUGCCCCAUCUCCUAUUCGCUUACCGGGAGGUACCGCAGGAAUCGACCGGGUUUUCUCCAUUUGAAUUAUUAUUCGGGAGGAGGGUAAGAGGACCCCUUGACCUGAUUAGGGAGCACUGGGAAGAAGACCGGAGCACAGACGGUAACCCCAUCAUACCAUAUGUACUGGCGUUCCGAGAUCGUCUGGAAGCAUUGACUAGGUCGGUAAGGGAGAACCUCCAGGCAGCUCAGACUCGCCAGUGCACAUGGUAUGAUCAGGGCACCAGUGAUGCUUCCAGAUUGGGCAGAAAGUUUUAAUUUUAAAACCUGUCCGACAUAAGUUACAGGCCGCCUUGGAGGGCCCUUAUAAAGUGGUGGAACAAAGAUGUGACACCACUUAUAUAAUUGGACCCUGUGCAGGAACUGGAGGGCGACGCAUGAUUCAUGUGAACAUGAUGAAGCCCUACCAGGAACGUUCAGAGGAGGUGACAGCCAUUUGUGCCCCCUCCUCUGAGGAGUUCGACAGCCUUCCCCUCCCAGAUCUGCUGGGGGGCGGUCGGCUGUCCGAGCAUCUAGGUUACGCUGGGAGAUUGCCCACAGGAGCGUACCGAGGUACAACAAUUACUAAAGAAGAAACAAGAUACCUUCUCCAAUAUACCUGGGUACACCCCUCUGGCCACUCACCGGGUAGAAACCCCAGGGCAACUUCCCAUGCGCCAGACGCCUUACCGCAUCCCUGAAGCAGUAAGGGAGAACAUGCGCAAGGAGAUCGAGAUCAUCACUGGGGGUGAUUGAGCAGUCAGACAGCCCAUGGGCCUCCCCUGUAGUCCUCGUACCUAAGUGGAGUGGUACGACCCGCUUCUGCAUGGACUACCGGAGGUUAAACGAAAAGACAGUCUCUGACGCAUACCCUAUGCCCCGGAUAGAUGAACUGUUAGACCGGAUGCCCAGGGGCCAAUACCUCACACGACCAUUGGCAGAUUCCCUUGGCCCCGGACGCCAUCCCUAAGUCCACCUUUGUCACCCAUUCGGCUUAUACCAAUUUAAGGUGAUGCCGUUUGGGAUGAAAAAUUCCAGAGGAUGGUGGACCGACUCCUAGAUGGGUUCCAAGAUUACACCUGUGCUUAUUUAGAUGACAUUGCUAUCUUUAGCAAUACUUGGCAGGAACAUCUGGCCCACAUAGAAGCAGUACUAGAUAGAAUCUGGGAAGCAGGAUUAACCUUGAAACUUGCUAAAUGCAGUAUAGAUAUGGCUGAGGUACAGUACCUCGGACAUCGAAUAGGUUGCGGGAAGAAGAAGCCUGAACCCGCAAAGGUAGAGGCCGUGGCUCAAUGGCCAACCCCCAGGACAAAGACCCAAGUACUCGCUUUUCUAGGGACAGCCGGGUAUUACAGGAAGUUUGUGCCCAAUCAUAGCGCCCUGGCCAAACCUCUUACUGACCUUCCCCGCAAAAACCUUCCCCGCCAAGUAACCUGGGCCCCGGAGUGUGAGCAGGCAUUCCAGCUUUUGAAAAAUGUACUUAGCGAUGCCCCUGACUUGGUCGCUCCCAAUCCAACUAAACGUUUUCUUGUUCACACAGACGCUUCUAUGUUUGGAUUGGGGAACAUCCCGUAGCCUACAUCAGGCGGAAACUAUUACCUAGAGAAGUGAGCUAUGCUGCCAUCGAGAAGGAGUGCCUGGCUGUGGUGUGGGCCUUAAAGAAAUUACAACCCUAUUUGUAUGGACAGUCUUUUUCUUUGCUCACAGAUCACAACCCGUUGGGUAUGGUUAAACCGGGUAGCGGGGGACAAUGCCAGAGUUUGGCGCUGCAGCCGUUUGAUUUUAACAUCCAGGACCGCCCGGGCAAACAAAAUGGAAACGCUGACAGGUUUUUGAGACAGACUUGGAGAAAUGAUCCGUGAGCAUCCCUGGACAUCACCAAGCCGAUCCGUGUAGGAUCAGACUGUGGAUGCCGGCUUGUGGGCAAGGGGGAGGAGUGUAGCGGAUUGUGUUAAGGCUGUCUUUAGGAAUUCGUAUUGAAAAUGUAUUUGUGUAAUUGUUUCCCUGUAUGUCUGUAAAAAGUAUGUAGGUUUCGUAUGAUUGUUCGGUAUUUUCAUACGAAUGAAACUACCGAACCAUCAUACCACCCCAGUGAGAAGUGUGCACCUCGUUAAGCGUUCACACACUGCAAACCGCAGCUUAAUUGAUACAUUGUAUGUGCCUGUGUGGUCACCGUCCGGCAUGCGAACCAUGUGCGGUGGCCAUCUUACGCAUGAAAAUCUCAACGGUGUUUGGUCGUUGAGUGUCUGGAACUCAAAUCGGACACUCAAACAACUGAACACCGCUGAGACCUCCAGAGUUCCAUAACUCACGAACGGAGGGACUAGUCAGCCUCUCGUUCGGUAAAAUCAAUGUCCCGAACAAGGGAAUACGAAUGGAAGAUUAGUUGUGGAUGGCAGUUAUUUCUAUGUGUUUUAACUCCUGAACAGAGACCGACCACAAGGCCAAAACACAUGGAGCCUUUUUUGGAUACCACCUCGUGUGCGGUCGGUCAAAUUACACCCUCCACCUAACUCCCGAACCCCUGGUCCGAUCUGGGUGAAUUUUGGAUAUGUUAGUCACCAAGAUCAGGGCUACCAGGGGGUACUCAAAGUAUUAUUAUAACUGCUUGUUUUGGGGUACAUCCAGAAAUCGGGGAAAACUACAGCAUGUUUAAUGGGAUUGUCACACUAAGGGGAGAAGAUGUGUGGGAGGUAAUUUACAUUAUUGGUUACUGUCCUAAUUAUGGUGAAUCCCUCCCUUGCAUGGGAGAAUGCUUU